AGUAACCUGCCUUGGAGUGGGGAAUAACAGUUGGAAACAGCUGCUAAUACCGCAUGACGCAGUUGAGUCGCAUGGCUCUGACUGCCAAAGAUUUAUCGCUCUGAGAUGGACUCGCGUCUGAUUAGCUAGUUGGCGGGGUAACGGCCCACCAAGGCGACGAUCAGUAGCCGGACUGAGAGGUUGGCCGGCCACAUUGGGACUGAGACACGGCCCAGACUCCUACGGAAGGCAGCAG
rnacentral:rRNA from 1 species